GUUGUGAAAUCUUUUUUUUUUUUUUUGUAUCGGCGCUGUGGCAGUAUAAGCUUUGAUCCAGAACAGCAACGUUGGUGAGAUCCGCUUCUUCCUGAAAUGAGAACCGAGGGGGCUGGACUUUGGGACAGACGUCCACACGAGUGGAGGAGGGGAGACGUACAGCCGCUGUGGACCAAUCAGAAGCGGCUCUGCUGACACCGGAUGUGGUAUAAACUCACAUCCGGGAGGGACAUUUCUUUCUGCAACACUCCUCUUGGAAGCAUGCGUUCUCCGGGUCGACCUGCGCGACUCGAACUAUUUGCCUUAAAUAUGGGAGUGAAUCGCCAACUGGUUUUAUCGACUAAUCGUUAUUACGGCUCAGGAGGUUGAGGAGAAAUUAGAUUUAAUUUGAUGAGGCGCUUAAAAUCAUGCGUGUACGAGCACUGGGACAAGGCCGCACCGGCCAGGAGAGUCGCAUGAGCUGGCGAUGAACUGGGAUUGAGGCGAUUGCCCACCCACACGUGGAGCUGCAGAUCGAGGCCUGCUAAGACGCUGUUGACGAUUGGGGAAUAAUCUCUGCAUUAACAACAUGGCAUCCGGCUGUGAAAUGGUCCAGAACCCUGUAAAGGACAAGAGGACACCUUGGCUUAUAAUGGCUGCAUUUCCUGAUCUGUAAAAGUAUCUGAAUAAAGCAUUGUUUUUAAACCUGUGUUGCUUGUGUAAUUUCACUUUACAUGUUUUGGUAACGUGGUUUUGUCUAUGCACUCUUUGGAACCUGAGCGGCCUUUCCAUUGGCCGCUCACAAAGGCCAAGAGCAGUGCGAGAUAAUCUCUUGUCAUAACUGGAGUUUCUUGGCAACUUUCCCAAGUCUCUCUUUUUAAGCAAGGCACAAAAUCUAAACACACUAAAGUAAUAUCUUUUCAUGCAACUACAUUAAUGUAGGGAGAGAGAAAGUUGAAAGAGCCUAUUAAUGCUGACAUUAUGUCCUGUAGCUAAAUAAAUCUUAAUCAAAUGAACAUUAGACUGUU